ACAGUUAUGGCAUUUGCCUGACAAAUCUUCACUGAAGGCAAGGCAAAUGCCAUGACUGUAGACAAGCCAUUAAAAUGAGAUAAUACAAAAUAAAUCCUUAGGCUUCCAGGUCAAAUCUUUUAUCAUAUUCAUUUUAUACAAUUUUCCUUAUAAAAUACCCAUCCUAUCACCCUUCAUUCCUCAUACACCCACAAAUAGAAAAGAAACCAUGAAACAGUGACUCUUGCCUGUGCCUGCAUCAAGGCAGUUAUUUCUAGUCGUUUUCCUUUUUAGCACUGAAAAUGGGUGGGAAGGGAAACCAAGGGAAUUGUCUUGUGCUAAUAACUAGUUGGCAAUCCCUUUCUAUCAGGAAGGAUGGUUGGAAUACCUAGUUAAAUGCUAAGAAUCAGAACCAAUGAAAUUUUUGAAACUAUACUAGCUGUAAGAAAAUGUCCUGUUAUGCUGAUCUCUACCUAUUAACAUUAGCAAGGAAGAAUCUCCUUGAGAGUUGAGGUUCAAUAUUUUUCAGGAAGUUGGCUAGACGUGGUUUUGUGUUUGCUUCAUUCCUAACACAACAAAAUAUAAGAAAAUCUCUCCCCUCUCAAAUUUGUGGUUUUACUCUAAACAUAAGGGUAAAUUAUGAAAUCUCAGACUCCCACUUAUUUGCCUCUGUACUCCCUUCCAUUUCAGGGAAAUUGAGUAACAAUCUAAAAUUUGCCUACUAUUUAACAACAAUGUCACUUACUUAUGACAUAAUUUAAGAAUGUUAGAAAUGAUAUCCACUUUAUCAUCCUUAAUCCAAGUUCAACUCAUCCAUAGAGGAAAAGAGCAAAGUUCAAAACCCAAUUAGUCUAGAGAAUUACAACAAUCUAAGAUUUGAUAACAAAUUUUAUAGAAGAUAUAUGAACAUAUAUGCGCACAGAUUUCAUUAGUGAAAAUAUAAUAACAAGUAGUUCUCAUACAAGAUAAA
rnacentral:misc_RNA from 1 species